rnacentral:lncRNA from 1 species
UAGGAAGAACCCAGUGCGAUAAAAAUCUAGUAAAGGAAAAAGUGUCUUUUAACCAACCCAAUAAAUUGUAACAAUGCCACAAGCUUAUAACAAAAUAAAAUAAGUAGCAAACCUUUAAAAGAAAACAAAUGAACCACCAUAAGCUUGUAACAGCACCAGAAUCCAAUCUCUUCCAAUAGGUAAUAUCCAGCCCCCACUUUCCACCAUACCGCUACAACAAGAUGCUCCUUUUCUUAAGCAUAUACAUUGAAAAGCAUUGACACACCAUCAUCAGUAGUCUUGCCAAGAAGCUAUCUUGACCUGGUCUGUAAUUACUACCUCCAAAAACCAUUAAG